rnacentral:lncRNA from 1 species
CAGGGAUGCACUCUUUAAACCCACACUCUUUUAAACACUCUUUAAAAAACACAAAUUUUGCCAUAUCACUUGUCAUCUGAAAAAUGCAAAUUAAAACAAUGAGAUUCCUUUACCCACCUAUUAAAAUGGCCCAAAUCCAGGCUAGGGGUUGAAUGGGAGCUGUAGCUGCCGACCUAUGCAAUGCAAGAUUUGAGCCUCGUCUGCAACCUACACCACAGCUCACGGCAACACCAGAUCCUUAACCCACUGGGUGAGGCCAGGGAUCGAACCUACAUACUCAUGGAUAUUGGUUGGAUUCAUUACCACUGAGCCACAGCAGGAACUCCCUGUUUUCAAUUCCUUCACACAUAUCCAGGGUGGAACUGCUGGGUCCUAUGGCAAUUUUAUGCUUAACUUUUUGAGGAACCCUUCAAAAUAUUUUGAAAAUGUGAACUACNAAAAAAAAAAAAAAAAAAAAAAAAAGCCAAAAAGACACUGAAAGCAAAAUGCAAAACUUCAAUGAAAUUAAAGAAGUUAAAAAAAACAAAAAAAAGUUUCUCUAUUCUUACCCCUUCUUUCAUUAGGUUCAAUUUGAGCAGAAAAAAACCCAAACAGUUCACUUGUGCUUAAAAGACCAAGAACACUAGGAAGAGAAAGUUAGAUAUGCAAUCCUACCAAAUAAUUAACAAAGACUGCCGUGUCUCCACAAUAUUUUUAACAACAAAAUCACCUCUAAGCCAGAGGUCUGUCAAAACCACCUGGCUGGCUCUAGACUUUUGAACCAAAGAAAACAGCUGAGAGGACCCAGUGCAGGCCCUAAACUGGGAGGCUUUCUGUUAUCAGUAAAGACUGGAUACUCUGCUCUGGCUCCAUUUGCAGUAAAACCAUUUUUCUCUUUGGAAAGACACAGCCCUCAGUGGAAAAAAAAAAACCAAAACAAACACUCUUUAAAAAACACAAAUCUUGCCAUAUCACUUGUCAUCUGAAAAAUGCAAAUUAAAACAAUGAGAUUCCUUUACCCACCUAUUAAAAUGGCCCAAAUCCAGGACAUUGACAGUAACACCAAAUGCCAGCAAGGAUGUGGGGCACCAGGAACCUCAUUCAUUGCAGGUGGGGAGGUAGAGGACCGAGGACAGCUUGGGGGUCCUUACAAAACUAAACAUACUCUUACCAUCAAUCCAGCAAUCACCCUCCUUGGUGUUCACCCAAAAGAUGUGAAUGCUUAUGUCCACACAAAACCUGCACUUGGAUGUUUAUAACAACUUUAUUGACAACUGCCCCAACUUGGAAGCAAUCAAGAGCAAUAAACUGUGGUACAUCCAGACAAUGGGAAUAACUCAGCGCUGAAAAGAAAUGAGCUACCAAACCAUGAAAAGACAUGGAGGAACUCCGAAUGUCUAUUGCUCAAUGAAAGAAAUCAAUCUGAAAAGGCUACAUCCUGUAUGAUUCCCACUAUAAGAUACAGAGGAAAAGGCAAAACUAUGCAGACAGUAAAAAGAUCAGUGGUUGCCAGGGGUUCAUGGGGCAAGAAGGAUGAACAGGCAGAGCACAGAGGAUUUUCAGGGCAGUGAAAAUACUCUGUAUGAUACCAGAAUGAUGGACACAUGUCACUAGCAUCUGUCCAAACCCAGAGGAUGGACAACACCAAGUGUGGAUCCUAAGGUAAACUGUGGACUCUGGCAAUCACGAUGUGUCAAGGUAGCUUCACUGACUGUAACUGUACCACUGGGAGGGUGGUGCAGUAGAUAAUGAGGAAGGUUUAUGCACGUGGUGGGGGCAGGUAGGAAGAAUUCGGGAAAUCUCUGCACUUUCCGCUCAAUAUUGCUGCAAACCAGAAACUGCUCUAAAAAAGUAAUGUCUUCAUUAAAAUAAUUUUCUGUCCAUCCCUUAAAAUGGUAUUUCGAAUCAGUUCUAAACCAUGAGCGCUACUUUGGGAAUGACGUGCUAGAAACGUAGUCUGGGACCAAGGGAGAGAGAAGCGAGCGUGAGAAGCAGCCCAGGGUGCACACGAAGCCUCUCUCUGCAUCUGCUUCCAGCAGCUUUUAAGGGGCUGAUAAUCACCAAUGAGUUUAGCUGGGAGGACAGUGGCAAGACGGGAAUGCAGAGGGAGUGGACCAGAAGAGGACAUAUCGACACCUUUAAAUUAAGUGAAGAAGAAAACAGCUCUCUGAAGGACACAGUAAACGAACUACAAAUGACAAAACUGACUUCUGAUACCAGCAAGACACCGACAUGACAGGGACGGCUGGCAAGUCAGGAAACAGGCAGGCGCGCUGGCAGCAUUCACCGGGCAGGUGUUCAAUUAGGCAGGAAGUGGAUUGACAACAACUCAAUUAAUUCACUGUGCACGCCUGUCCCCGCGAACACAAAGAUACACCUGAAAUACCAGCGGCAGGCCAGAGCUGAACUCCAUGGGCCCAUUUUUGGCAAAAGUGGGGGCUAGCAAAGAUGCAAGAACAAAAGAUAAAAUUAUACUCAGAUUAGCUCUGGGAAGCCCUUUAAAACCAAGGCCAGAAAGGAAACAAAACGAGAAGGUAGCUUACUAUGAAUCAGAUGUCAUUCCUUUCCCAUGAGUGGCUUCCCCUGGUUGCUUCAGAUACAGGUACCCUGGUGCAUGGGACUGGGGAACGUGAUAAAGACAAGCAGACAUGACUUAAAAACCAACAGCAAAGUGAUGGGAUCACCCCUAUUGGUAACAUCCCCUGUGUGCGAGGCUCUGCCAAGCCGAGACUUAAACUCCAGCGCACCAGGUAUACCUAUGGUCUGAAUACACUGCAAAGAACAUAGAAAAACAUGAGGAGUCACAGGUGAGACAAAGGUAAAUACGUUGAGAACAUAAAAUCAAGGAAAGAAAAACAAAGGUUAUCAUAUCAGGACCAACAUCUGGCAGAAGAUACAAGCGCUUAACAGAAAGUGGGACCUCACCCUCCUGGCAGCCAGCAUCACAUCCGUCAAGCCCAACAAAGAAUAAAAUGCUUGAUAUGCAAGGUGAAGGACUACAGCUUGGAGUGUGAAGCAUCUGUACCACUCCUUUGCUUUAGGGAAAAUAAUACUGAGGUUCAGAGAGGUUGCACAACAUAUCUGGGACCACCAAGUGUUAACAACGGCAAAGCCAAGACUAUACUCCUGGUCUUCUGGGAGGCCUUCCACUAACAAUACUGAUGAUGAUGUUGAUGAUGAUGGUGGUGGUGGUGAUGAUGAUGUGAUGAUGUGAUGGUGAUGAUAAUGUGAUGAUGAUGGUGAUGAUGAUGAUGUGGUGAUGUGGUGAUGAUGAUGGUGAUGAUGAUGAUGUGAUGAUGGUGAUGACGAUGAUGUGAUGAUGGUGGUGAUGAUGAUGGUGAUGAUGUGGUGAUGAUGAUGGUGAUGUGAUGAUGAUGAUGUGAUGUGAUGAUGGUGAUAACGAUGAUGUGAUGAUGGUGGUGAUGAUGAUGGUGAUGUGAUGAUGAUGAUGAUGUGAUGAUGGUGAUG